GGAUAACUUACCCUUAGGACUGGGAUAACUCUGGGAAACUGGGGAUAAUACUGGAUAUUAGGCUAUGCCUGGAAUGGUUUGCCUUUGAAAUGUUUUUUUUCGCCUAAGGAUAGGUCUGCGGCUGAUUAGGUCGUUGGUGGGGUAAUGGCCCACCAAGCCGAUGAUCGGUACGGGUUGUGAGAGCAAGGGCCCGGAGAUGGAACCUGAGACAAGGUUCCAGACCCUACGGGGUGCAGCAGGCGCGAAACCUCCGCAAUGUACGAAAGUGCGACGGGGGGAUCCCAAGUGUUAUGCUUUUUUGUAUGACUUUUCAUUAGUGUAAAAAGCUUUUAGAAUAAGAGCUGGGCAAGACCGGUGCCAGCCGCCGCGGUAACACCGGCAGCUCGAGUGGUAGCUGUUUUUAUUGGGCCUAAAGCGUUCGUAGCCGGUUUGAUAAGUCUUUGGUGAAAGCUUGUAGCUUAACUAUAAGAAUUGCUGGAGAUACUAUUAGACUUGAAGUCGGGAGAGGUUAGAGGUACUACCGGGGUAGGGGUGAAAUCCUAUAAUCCUGGGAGGACCACCUGUGGCGAAGGCGUCUAACUGGAACGAUCUUGACGGUGAGUAACGAAAGCCAGGGGCGCGAACCGGAUUAGAUACCCGGGUAGUCCUGGCCGUAAACGAUGUGGACUUGGUGUUGGAAUGGCUUUGAGUU
rnacentral:rRNA from 1 species